AGGAAUUGAACUCAGGACCUCGCACUUGCCAGGCAGGAUGAAAAAAAAACAAAAUCCCAGAAGAGCUACAUUUUCCUUGGAAAGUAUAAGGUUUUCCUGAGCUUGUCCCCUGAUGAAACAAGAGCUUUUUAAAAAUGUACUGUAACAUACAUCUUCAUGAGCACUUCUCCAUGUUUUCACUGAAUGACUUUCUGCCAGUUCUGUAACGAUACUAUUCGUCACUGUUCUCAACUUCGGCAUCUAAAAUUACACACAUGUUUGACAAUUGAAAGAAGAUAAUUCCACCUAGGACUUCAAAGCCACUCUAUCUGCCACUUGGUUGCUCACCUUCUUUCCAGUGUUUCUCUUCCUCCUAUGCAUUCCAUUUGCUGCGAGGGCUGCUGUUCCCCAGUCAGCCAAGGCCAUUAUUCGAGGAAGCAAAAUACUGCCACUGAAAAGUGGCUGAAGAAAAU